rnacentral:rRNA from 1 species
GACGAACGCUGGCGGCGUGCUUAACACAUGCAAGUCGGACGAGGACGAGGAGCUUGCUCUUCGAUCCGAGUGGCGAACGGGUGAGUAACACGUGACCAACCUGUCCUAGGGUGAGGGACAACCUGGGGAAACUCGGGCUAAUACCGCAUACGCCCUACGGGGAAAGGCGGGGGACGUUUCGGGCCGUCGCGCUAUUAGAUGAGCCUAAGUCCGAUUAGCUAGUUGGCGAGGGUAAUGGCCUACCAAGGCGACGAUCGGUAGCUGGUCUGAGAGGACG